rnacentral:piRNA from 1 species
UGCACUAAUAAUCAAAUCUAAGAUGAUUAUC